AGCAGGGAGCCCAACUCGGGGCUGGAUCCCAGGACUCCAGGAUCGUGACCUGAGCCAGAGAGAAAAAUGGCAGGGACUCACUUUGCAAGAAAUUACACUAUGUUCAAUGACUUCCCAUCAAGAGUAAGCAAUGUUCCGUAUCCUGCCUUUGAUGCCAACCAAAACAUCAGUUCUUUUUUUGGACUGGGACCACACCACUGGUUCUCCUGGUUCUCAGGCCUUUGCACUUGGACUAAAACUUAUAUCAUGUAGCCUCCUGGGUCUCCAGCUGGUGUGACUGUGAAUUUUGGGACUUAGGCUCCAUAAUCAGGAUGAAGGGGCUGAGAUUCGGGUUUUGCGGAGGAACAUCUGAGCUGCCAUUUCUGGAUGAAUGAGGAGUUAAGAAACCUCCAGAAACCUCUAGAAGGAUGAACAGCCAAGUGCUGGCAGCGGUCCCCGCGGGAGGUGGGGCUGAGCAGGGAGGAAGACCUUCCCAGUGAUCAGGGGAGGACAAGAACACAGAAAAAUGUAAGUCGAUUCUUCGGAUGAGAAAAGACAAAGAAGGCGGGCACCUUAGGAAUCCAACAUGCCUCUGCAUGCCCAGCGGGAACCACCGUCCUGAUUCUGUGUCGACGACUCAUUUCCUCACAGCUUUCUAGACACGAGAGUCCUGGAAUCACGUCCUGGUGGCUGGGCCUGCUUCUGCACUUUAAAUGUAUGCACCCUCGUUAUGACUUCUGCGAUAAGUCCCCCUCAAUGUUACGGUGUAGAGUCUCAUCCAAACCAGUGCACGGAGCGGAGUGGUGCUGCUGUUCCCGGCCACGCAGAACUCCGCUGUCUGGGCAGACCCCACGGUGUCUAUCCACCUGAGUGUGGGUGUCUGGGCUGCUCCUGGUUUGGUGCCAUUAGGAACAGUUCUGCUCUAGGUCUGCACAGGUCUGUAGGGCAGCCACAGAGGCCUGGGAUUCUGUGCAGCACGGGUGUGUGCGGUGUGUGCAUGGUGGUGUGAAGUGGGAUCUCUUUUUGCUUUUCAUUUGCAUUUCUCUCAUUAUUCAUGAGGCCGAGCAUCCUUUUGUAUGUGUGUGGGCCAUUUAUGCGCUUUUUUCUUUCUCCUUUGUAACAGGAGUUGGCAGUCCUUUUUUUUUUUUUUUUUAUAAAGGGCCAGAUAGUAUUUUUGGAUCUAUGGGCCAUGCAAUCUGCGUCACAAUUACUCAGGGCUGCCACUGAAGUCCCGAGGAAACCAUAAACAAUAUGUCAAUGAAUGGGUGUGGCUGUGUCCCAAUAAAGCUUUAUUUACAAAAAUAGGGAGUGGGCCAGAUUUGGCCUGUGGCUUGCAGUUGGCUCUGAUUUGUGGGAUUUCUUUAUAUAUUUUGAAGGGAUUUUACGUGUAGCAAAUAUUUUUUACCAGAUGUAGUGUCUUUUCUCCUAGUGUAGCAUGUUUUUGAUGAACAGAAUUUCCUAUUUUAAUUAUUGUUUUUAAAAAAGUGAGUAAGAUUUGCUGAAACUCAGUAUCUGCCUGGGUUUAUUUCCCAUCUUGUCUUAAAUACGAUCAGGGCUUUCUGGAAGUCCAGUGGGAAAGCAGGUAAGAAUUAGAUACGUAAUACGCAGACAGAUGACAUCACCUCAGGGUACAAGUAGAAAAUUAGAAGGUUCUCUAUGCAAACAAGGAGAAAAUACAGAGCAGACAGCACUGUUCUCCGAGGCAGCCUACAUGCCCCCCAUGUGAGUGGCACUGCCCACUGAGGAGGAGGACCCCAGAGACCCCCAGGAUGGAAUAUUUCCCCGCAGA